rnacentral:rRNA from 1 species
AUUGAACGCUGGCGGCAUGCCUUACACAUGCAAGUCGAACGGCAGCACGGGAGCAAUCCUGGUGGCGAGUGGCGAACGGGUGAGUAAAGUAUCGGAACGUGCCCAGUCGUGGGGGAUAACGUAGCGAAAGUUACGCUAAUACCGCAUACGAUCUAUGGAUGAAAGCGGGGGAUCGCAAGACCUCGCGCGAUUGGAGCGGCCGAUAUCAGAUUAGGUUGUUGGUGGGGUAAAGGCCCACCAAGCCGACGAUCUGUAGCUGGUCUGAGAGGACGACCGGCCACACGGGGACUGGGACACGGGCCAGGCUCCUACGGGAGGCAGCAGUGGGGAAUUGUGGACAAUGGGCGAAAGCCUGCUCCAGGCAUGGCGCGUGCAGGAUGAAGGUCUUCGGGUUGUAGACUGCUUUGGAACGGAACGAAAAGGACUGCCUUACUACGGUGGUCCCAUGACGGUACCGUAAGAAUCAGCACCGGCUAACUACGUGCCAGCGGGCGCCGCAG